rnacentral:rRNA from 1 species
AUUGAACGCUGGCGGCAGGCUUAACACAUGCAAGUCGAGGGGUAGAGGUUGCUUGCAACCUUGAGACCGGCGCACGGGUGCGUAACGCGUAUGCAACCUACCUUUUACAGAGGGAUAGCCCAGAGAAAUUUGGAUUAAUACCUCAUAGUAUAUAACCUUCGCAUGUUGGUUAUAUUAAAGUUCCAACGGUAAAAGAUGGGCAUGCGUCCUAUUAGCUAGAUGGUAAGGUAACGGCUUACCAUGGCAACGAUAGGUAGGGGUCCUGAGAGGGAGAUCCCCCACACUGGUAAUGAGACACGGACCAGACUCCUACGGGAGGCAGCAGUGAGGAAAAUUGGACAAUGGGCGCAAGCCUGAUCCAGCCAUGCCGCGUGCAGGAAGAAGCAUCUAUGGUGUGUAAACUGCUUUUGUACAGGAAGAAACACCCCGACGUGUCGGGACUUGACGGUACUGUAAGAAUAAGGAUCGGCUAACUCCGUGCCAGCAGCCGCAGUAAGAC